AGAUACACAGAGAGAGAAGCAGAUCAAAUAAAAAAGGGAGAGACAGAGAAGCUCGUUGGGAGAGGAAGGAAAAGUUGAAGGAGAAAAAAAGGAAGGAAAGUUUAGGUAGAAAGACAAAUUGAUAGAGAGGAGAGUAGAGAGAAAAUGGUGUUGUUUUCCUAACAGUCAAGCUUUCUGUCUUUGUCUUUCCUCGUGGGAGAAGUUGCUGGGAGGAGAAUCGGAAAAGAAAGAGGACACGGUGAAUUCCAGUUAAAAUGAGAAGUUGAGAAGAUAUUAAUGUGAUCUAUAGAGAGUAUGCAUCAGAGGAAUUAAGAUCAUCACCUGUUAAUUCUGAUGAUAAUCACCUAUUAGAAAUGUUUAUGUUCGACGGAAAGAUCAUAAAGUUGAACAUGCUUCAGAAAGUUUGUGUAGGCAAAGGUCUUAUACCACAUGAUACAGGCAGUAUACGAGAAGCACUUAAUAAAUUCACCAAAUAAUUUCAGAAAUUUUUCGAUAAGGAGUCCCGUUGAGAUACCAAAUUAUCAACAGAGGUACGUUGUUAUCCUGUAAAAUAUGCAUGCAUGUCAUCUAAAUGUUUCACGGGUUCAACAUGAAUUCUGGGAUCUGGGUCAUUGGGUGGCUUAACAUGGGGGACAACUUCAACCCGAUCAUGGAUGGGAUUUUAAGUACGCUUAAAUAAAAAAAAUUAGAUUACGACGGGCACGUUAAACCCAAGUGUCGACCGUUUUACAAUUACAGAAGAACGAGAUCAGGGCAAUAAUUACGGUGAAUCUGACCAGCACACCUUUUAACAAACUCAAAGAGUGUGUGUUGAGUAAGACAGAGUCAUGGAUGAUGAAAUCAAAGAAGAAUACCUAAGUCAAUCGGUUGGUAGCAUGGUUCAACGAGCCUACUAGCCCCAAGUUAUUAUUAGGAUGCUUCCUUUUUUGUUUUUUAUUUAGUUACAUUGCGAGCAUAUGUGGCAAUUGAAGUUUGUCUUACUCGCAAAUUAAGAUUUCGUGUGUUUAUGGCCUUUGCCUUUAUGUUUCAUCUUUCAUGUAUGGACGUGUGUUGCACUUUCUA